CAGCGUCCUGCAAGGCUGCAGGGCACGCUGUCACCUUAUCCUCCACAGCCAGCAGUAAUGACACCAGGGGCAAGCCAGGAAGAGAUGUGGAUGCUCAAGGAGGAGCCUCCAAGGCUGCCCACUGUAUGCGGGAGGACAAGGGCUCACCUCUGCCUUGUGCGUGGCAAAACCAUGGGUGAAAGUGUUGGGCAAGGCCGUCUCUGCCUGACUCCUGGACCCAAAGCCAGUGCCCAAACCCUGCGGUGAGCCUGUGGCUUAGCAAAGGGAAGAAGCAGUAGGAAAAGGAGCGGAAGCUCACCAAAAAUGUCUUUGGCGGAAACAAGGAUGGGCUUCCAGGAGGUGAUGGACCCUCCGUGUCCCCACUGGUUCAGCUGCAGGCAGAUGAGUCUGGAUGAGAUGCUCUCCUGCCAGGAUGACACCAGGAGGCAAUGGCCAUCUUCAGCUCAUCUCCCACUCCAAAACGUGGCCUGGCAAAAGGCUUUUUCCUGUGUGACCUCCGUGCUGCUGCCAAGUGUGUGGGAGUGAUGGAGGGGCUGCUCCAGUCCGUGUGUCACACAGAGCCCAAGACCUGCAAGAGGGAGAGAAGGUCACUAGUGCUCAUCUGGAGAUGCUGCACACCAUCAGCCUUCCAACGGGACCUCUGCACACCAGCAACAAGGCGUCUUUCGCAGGUGCCCUGGACCAUGCACUCAGAGCAUCUCCUCCAAAGUCCCAGGCCACUUUGUCGACAGAGAAGCGGCUCGUCAGUGUGUUAUGCAGAACGUGAGCUCCACUAAAAAGCCAAUAUUUGCCAGCAAAUAACAUAUGUUUCUUUCUCUUGGUUUAAUUGCCUCAGAGUCCGUCUCCUAAUCUGCAUUUUAGUUCAGAGGCCUCAGAAUCCUCAGCACAGGAGAAAGAGCUACAGAGAAAGGAUGAAACAGAGACAGAUUCCAGAGCACUGGUUAUGCUGUCUGGUGCGUUACAGCAAUGCAGCUGCCUUAGAGUAGCACCCCAGUUUGCUUUCAGCUGUUCCUCCUGCCCUUUGAAGACCUGGGUGCAAAUGACUAUGAAGCAAAGUGCUCAGCCUGCUACUGGAUGAGUAAGAGGCUGUUGGUGGAAGCUGCUUCAAUGAAGAGGCUUAGGAUGGUCCCUGACUCUCUGCAUUCACAUCCUGGGAAAGCAGGUGGAAAAUGGUCCUGGUUUGGUUGUCCACUGCUCAGCUACUUCUUAAUGUCAAAUAUGGGAGUAAAAAGAAGUUUAAGAGCUUUAAUCACAUAAAAUGGACGUGCUCAGUGUUUGCAUAAGGAGAUGUUUCACAUGCCCUUUAACGAGUGCUGAGAUACAUCUUGUUUCAAGGGGUAGAAACAGAGGAAUAUAAAAGCAGAAUCUUCUGUGAUGCAAAGCUGCUGCUUGUUUCCUGGUUCUGCUUAAUUCAUUUGUACAAAUAGGCUUUUAAUUCAGCUUAACUCAGUCUCUUUUCUCCCCCUGCUUCCCCUAUGCAAGGCAAGCCCAUUUGCGUCUAGGUUACUGGCAACCAGUAUAUCAAGCUCCCGCCAAGCAUGUAUUAAAAUAAAGCUGCAAUCUGCUGAAAAACA